UUAAGCGACUAAGCGUACACGGUGGAUGCCCUGGCAGUCAGAGGCGAUGAAGGACGUGCUAAUCUGCGAUAAGCGUCGGUGAGGUGAUAUGAACCGUUAUAACCGGCGAUUUCCGAAUGGGGAAACCCAGUGUGUUUCGACACACUAUCAUUAACUGAAUCCAUAGGUUAAUGAGGCGAACCGGGGGAACUGAAACAUCUAAGUACCCCGAGGAAAAGAAAUCAACCGAGAUUCCCCCAGUAGCGGCGAGCGAACGGGGAGGAGCCCAGAGCCUGAAUCAGUGUGUGUGUUAGUGGAAGCGUCUGGAAAGGCGCGCGAUACAGGGUGACAGCCCCGUACACAAAAAUGCACAUAUUGUGAGCUCGAUGAGUAGGGCGGGACACGUGGUAUCCUGUCUGAAUAUGGGGGGACCAUCCUCCAAGGCUAAAUACUCCUGACUGACCGAUAGUGAACCAGUACCGUGAGGGAAAGGCGAAAAGAACCCCGGCGAGGGGAGUGAAAAAGAACCUGAAACCGUGUACGUACAAGCAGUGGGAGCCUCUUAAUGGGGUGACUGCGUACCUUUUGUAUAAUGGGUCAGCGACUUAUAUUCUGUAGCAAGGUUAACCGAAUAGGGGAGCCGAAGGGAAACCGAGUCUUAACUGGGCGUUAAGUUGCAGGGUAUAGACCCGAAACCCGGUGAUCUAGCCAUGGGCAGGUUGAAGGUUGGGUAACACUAACUGGAGGACCGAACCGACUAAUGUUGAAAAAUUAGCGGAUGACUUGUGGCUGGGGGUGAAAGGCCAAUCAAACCGGGAGAUAGCUGGUUCUCCCCGAAAGCUAUUUAGGUAGCGCCUCGUGAAUUCAUCUCCGGGGGUAGAGCACUGUUUCGGCAAGGGGGUCAUCCCGACUUACCAACCCGAUGCAAACUGCGAAUACCGGAGAAUGUUAUCACGGGAGACACACGGCGGGUGCUAACGUCCGUCGUGAAGAGGGAAACAACCCAGACCGCCAGCUAAGGUCCCAAAGUCAUGGUUAAGUGGGAAACGAUGUGGGAAGGCCCAGACAGCCAGGAUGUUGGCUUAGAAGCAGCCAUCAUUUAAAGAAAGCGUAAUAGCUCACUGGUCGAGUCGGCCUGCGCGGAAGAUGUAACGGGGCUAAACCAUGCACCGAAGCUGCGGCAGCGACACUAUGUGUUGUUGGGUAGGGGAGCGUUCUGUAAGCCUGUGAAGGUGGCCUGUGAGGGUUGCUGGAGGUAUCAGAAGUGCGAAUGCUGACAUAAGUAACGAUAAAGCGGGUGAAAAGCCCGCUCGCCGGAAGACCAAGGGUUCCUGUCCAACGUUAAUCGGGGCAGGGUGAGUCGACCCCUAAGGCGAGGCCGAAAGGCGUAGUCGAUGGGAAACAGGUUAAUAUUCCUGUACUUGGUGUUACUGCGAAGGGGGGACGGAGAAGGCUAUGUUGGCCGGGCGACGGUUGUCCCGGUUUAAGCGUGUAGGCUGGUUUUCCAGGCAAAUCCGGAAAACCAAGGCUGAGGCGUGAUGACGAGGCACUACGGUGCUGAAGCGACAAAUGCCCUGCUUCCAGGAAAAGCCUCUAAGCAUCAGGUAACAUCAAAUCGUACCCCAAACCGACACAGGUGGUCAGGUAGAGAAUACCAAGGCGCUUGAGAGAACUCGGGUGAAGGAACUAGGCAAAAUGGUGCCGUAACUUCGGGAGAAGGCACGCUGAUAUGUAGGUGAAGCGACUUGCUCGUGGAGCUGAAAUCAGUCGAAGAUACCAGCUGGCUGCAACUGUUUAUUAAAAACACAGCACUGUGCAAACACGAAAGUGGACGUAUACGGUGUGACGCCUGCCCGGUGCCGGAAGGUUAAUUGAUGGGGUUAGCGGCAACGCGAAGCUCUUGAUCGAAGCCCCGGUAAACGGCGGCCGUAACUAUAACGGUCCUAAGGUAGCGAAAUUCCUUGUCGGGUAAGUUCCGACCUGCACGAAUGGCGUAAUGAUGGCCAGGCUGUCUCCACCCGAGACUCAGUGAAAUUGAACUCGCUGUGAAGAUGCAGUGUACCCGCGGCAAGACGGAAAGACCCCGUGAACCUUUACUAUAGCUUGACACUGAACAUUGAGCCUUGAUGUGUAGGAUAGGUGGGAGGCUUUGAAGUGUGGACGCCAGUCUGCAUGGAGCCGACCUUGAAAUACCACCCUUUAAUGUUUGAUGUUCUAACGUGGGCCCCUAAUCGGGGUUGCGGACAGUGUCUGGUGGGUAGUUUGACUGGGGCGGUCUCCUCCUAAAGAGUAACGGAGGAGCACGAAGGUUGGCUAAUCCUGGUCGGACAUCAGGAGGUUAGUGCAAUGGCAUAAGCCAGCUUGACUGCGAGCGUGACGGCGCGAGCAGGUGCGAAAGCAGGUCAUAGUGAUCCGGUGGUUCUGAAUGGAAGGGCCAUCGCUCAACGGAUAAAAGGUACUCCGGGGAUAACAGGCUGAUACCGCCCAAGAGUUCAUAUCGACGGCGGUGUUUGGCACCUCGAUGUCGGCUCAUCACAUCCUGGGGCUGAAGUAGGUCCCAAGGGUAUGGCUGUUCGCCAUUUAAAGUGGUACGCGAGCUGGGUUUAGAACGUCGUGAGACAGUUCGGUCCCUAUCUGCCGUGGGCGCUGGAGAACUGAGGGGGGCUGCUCCUAGUACGAGAGGACCGGAGUGGACGCAUCACUGGUGUUCGGGUUGUCAUGCCAAUGGCACUGCCCGGUAGCUAAAUGCGGAAGAGAUAAGUGCUGAAAGCAUCUAAGCACGAAACUUGCCCCGAGAUGAGUUCUCCCUGACUCCUUGAGGGUCCUGAAGGAACGUUGAAGACGACGACGUUGAUAGGCCGGGUGUGUAAGCGCAGCGAUGCGUUGAGCUAACCGGUACUAAUGAACCGUGAGGCUUAACCUU
rnacentral:rRNA from 1 species